rnacentral:siRNA from 1 species
UAUCAAUCAGAAAGAACUGCG